AACCAACCAAAGCAAAGUCUUUACCCGAACGUUAAAACCGCUCUCUCCUCUCCUCUCUUGAUUUAACAUCUCUCAGAGUAUAACUAUAAAUUCCCCGGCGAUUAGAAUAUAUAAAAGGAUUCUUGUCAUACAGCAAUCUCAUUUGAUGACCAAAAGCUCCAUCCUUUUUGUUUGCUCUCUUCAUUCCACAAUUCCCUCACAAUCCAACCCCUUCAACACACAGCUUCACAUAAAAUAAAGAAAGACUCACAAAUUCAGAAGUAGUGGUUUUGUUUGCGAAUACCAAUGGCUUCCUCAUCAUCUCAAGAGAGAUCAAAGCAACUGCACAACUUUUCUUUGCCUUGUUUGAGAUGGGGCAAUCAGAGACUCCUUAGAUGUGUCAAAGUCAGUGAUGACAUUAUCAAUAGCAAUGAUGAUAAUCAGCACCAGCAAGGAUUUCAAUCAAAACCCAUCAAUUUGGUUUCUUACAAGAAUUAUAAACCAAACCCGAUUCAAGUCAACAAUGCUGCUGCCAAAAGAUUGAAGCUUCCUUCUUCUUCUCCUUUUGUUGUUGAGGAAGAGAAAGGAGGAGGAAAUAUUGAUGAAUCUCCAAGACCCUGGAAUUUGAGGACUAGAAGGGCAGCUUGUAAGGCUCCACUUAGAAUCGAAGAGCAGCCGUCAAGGAGAAAUAUUGUUGUUUCUCCAAGGAGGUAUUUAGAGAUUGAUUCACCAAAGAAACAUUAUGAGAGUUUGAUGUUGAAGAGGCAGCAGAGUUUCGAGAUGAAGGAGAAAGUCAAGUUUUCGAUUUCUUUAUCAAAGAGAGAGAUUGAAGAGGAUUUUCUUGAGAUGGUUAGAAUUAGGCCACCAAGGAGGCCUAAGAAGAGGCCUCGAAUCGUACAGAAGAAUUUGGAUUCAAUUUUCCCUGGGUUGUGGCUAGCUGAAAUUACACCAGAUUCAUACAAGGUUCAAGAAGUGCCUGAAUCAUGAAAGGGAUUGAACUGAAAGCAAAAUUGUUUUCUGGGGACUUUCUUUAUAUUCUGCUUCCUUCCUAACACUGGUGCAAUUCACCUCGACUUAUGGCUGCCUUUGCCCAAAAGGGCCAUCAGUGGAUCAGAGUUGCAUGUCUCACACCAGAAUCUACAUACUGGCUUGGUGCCCAUUUAUCCAAUCAUCUUCCACGCAAUACUCUCAGAUAAAAAACUCUUUAUAUUGAAACUAGUGUGGAAGUAUUCCUCUUCAUGCACUAUUGAACAAGGGUACUGCCAUAUUUUGCUGCUGUGGAAGAUUGUCAACUUACCGUGUUGUAACUGCAGUCAUUGUCACAGCACAAUUUGCAUUAUGAACAGCACGGGUAAAUUUAACAUUUUUUUUUAAUCAAUAGUGAUGUGAUUUUGGUAUUGCCAGAACAGACAUUUUGAGAGUUAUUCUACAGAAGAAAAGUAUGUACACUGAGAACACUAUUCAAUCAGAUAAAAGAAACAGGGA